rnacentral:lncRNA from 1 species
AGAUACUGUCCCAAAACUGGCUUCUCUUUUUUUAACCUACAAAAUUGAAUUGAACUGCAAUUGAAUUGAUCUCAGAAUUAAAAAGAUAAAUUUGAAACUGUUCAGUAGACCUGCAGCCCAGUGUGAGAGAGAAGUAUUUUAAUAUUCAUAAGGAAACACUGAAAGCAGAGUCUACAAAUUUCAAAGUCUUUCUCUUUUCAUCCAACAGUGAUCCUUAUGCUCACUGAAUCUGAAGGAAUAGAGUGGGUUCUCCUAAGGCUUUCAGAGCAAUGAGCACGGUGCUGUUCUGACAUUAAAUGAGCCAUCCCACAAUUUAACGGAUUCAUAAGGAAUUCUCACGGGAGAGGAUCUGAGAGCUAUGGGAUGAUGAGCACUUAAAGACGCUGGGAGAUGCGCUCACUCAUGCAGCCUCACCAGAUGGUGAAAAGGUUUCUACCCCUGAAAGGCCCACAAAACUAUUGAAAGAAGACUUUUGAAGAGAGGCUUGAGCAUGUGCUGAGAGUUUCCUGCACCAAGGCUUCCAUCGAAAAUACACAGGGAUGGACUCAAUGUUUGCUGCAGCUUCCUGGCUGGACAGAUACAGUAUCAGUCAUCGUGGAAGGAUGUUCCAGCCACAGUCACUCCCUGCUCCUGUUUAAUAACCUCUCAAGAUCAAUUUCCUCACAUCAGCAUUUUCAAAAACCAUGUCAAAAAUUCUCCUCGCAAACUCAUGUAUUUGCUUAAAAUUAAUAAAUAUAUGUGUAGAAAAUAAAAA